AGAGUGUUGCUCGUAGCACAAAAGCACCUGUUUUAUCCAUGUAUAAUUACAUUCGUUGCAUGUCUUCAAGCAAGCUUUUCAUUGGAGGCCUUUCAUAUGGAGUUGAUGAUUAAUCUCUUAAGGAUGCAUUUUCUGGCUUUGGAGAUGUGGUUGAUGCAAAAGUUAUAAUUGACAUAGACUCUAGAAGAUCAAGGAGAUUUGGGUUUGCUAACUUUUCCAAUGAUGAGUUUGUAAGUUCGGCACUCUCUGCAAUGGAUGGGAAGGUCAAAGUGCUUUUCAGUUUAUAUUGAACUUUUUUAUUACAGUCAUAUGCUGAUGGUGAGGUUGGAUUUAAUUGAUGAUGCAAUUUGAUAAAAAUUUCUAGCUUCCUUUUAAUACCUACUCUAGCCUUGCUUAAUAUUUUCUGUUUUGGCUUAGCUGAUGGCCAUUAAAUUUCUCAUAUUUGUCUCUCCUUCCUUUCUUGGUAACAAGUGGUUUUCUCUUCAAGCAAUGUUUGUUGUUGAAAAAGUAUUAAGGCUAGAGUAGAGAUAAAGAUAGGUUGUUUUUGUGGUAACAAAUGGUUUUCCCAUUUAUAUUGUUGCUUUUUUAAGUUCUUCAUAUUAUGAACUAACCUCAAUUUGACACUGUGUUUAUUGUCAGCUAUUUCGUUGUUUUAAUUGUAUAAAGGCCUCACUUUAGCUUCUGCUUCACAUGGUAUGACAAGCAUUCUGAGUUGUGUAGUUGAUUUCUUUGAGGUUAAUUCUAUUUGGCAGAGUUCCAAGUCGUAUUACGAUAUAUGAACUUUGAAGUUGUUUCCUAUCCUUUUUAGCACAUGUAAUUUUUAACCCAGUAUCAAUGUUUUAACUUUCCACGUUAAGAGUUUUUUUUUCACUAGGUGUCAUUUAGUUCUCUUUAUUUAACUAUUACAUUUUGGUUAGGUUUCUUGUUAAGAUCUUCCAUGAUUUACUUGAAGAAGUAAUGGCUACAACUGCAAGAUGCCAUGGUCUUAUGGCUCAUGUUAAACAGCUUGAGAUUGAAGUUCCUUCACUGGAGAAGGCUUUCUUUUCUCAAACUCAUCAUUCCUCAUUCUAUACAAAUGGAGACUUACCUCGAUUUACAAUGGAUUCAUAUGAAGAAUGUCAUGGUCCUCCUAGACUGUACUUGUUGGAUAAGUAUGAGCUGAUUCAUGAGACAUAUGAUUAGAAAAUAAUUAUUAUGUUAUAGAUUUUUCAAAUUUGUUCUUUUUGGCUUUUGGCUUCUUUAAAGGUUUGAUGUAGUUGGGGAUGGGGCAUGUCUGAAGCGUUAUACUAAUCCAUCAUUCUUUAAAAUGGAAUCAACUUCAUCUGUAAUUGCUACAAUAGAAGUUUAGAGAGAAAAGAGAAUAAAUUUACUGUUUGGUGUUGUUCUAAGCAUUACUAUAUAUUUGUAUAUUAACUUAUAAAAAUGAUUAGUGAAAGUC